rnacentral:rRNA from 1 species
UACGUAGGGGGCAAGCGUUGUCCGGAAUCAUUGGGCGUAAAGCGCGUGUAGGCGGCUCGAUAAGUCUGCUGUGAAAGUCCAGGGCUCAACCCUGGGAUGCCGGUGGAUACUGUCGAGCUCGAGUCCGGAAGAGGCGAGUGGAAUUCCUGGUGUAGCGGUGGAAUGCGCAGAUAUCAGGAAGAACACCGACGGCGAAGGCAGCUCGCUGGGACGGUACUGACGCUGAGGCGCGAAAGCGUGGGGAGCGAACAGG